AUUGAACGCUGGCGGCAUGCUUUACACAUGCAAGUCGAACGGUAACAGGUUAAGCUGACGAGUGGCGAACGGGUGAGUAAUGCAUCGGAACGUGCCCGGUCGUGGGGGAUAACGCAGCGAAAGCUGCGCUAAUACCGCAUACGAUCUGAGGAUGAAAGCGGGGGACCGUAAGGCCUCGCGCGAUCGGAGCGGCCGAUGUCAGAUUAGGUAGUUGGUGGGGUAAAGGCUCACCAAGCCGACGAUCUGUAGCUGGUCUGAGAGGACGACCAGCCACACUGGAACUGAGACACGGCCCAGACUCCUACGGGAGGCAGCGGUGGGGAAUUUUGGACAAUGGGCGAAAGCCUGAUCCAGCAAUCCCGCUUGCAGGAAGAAGGCCUUCGGGUUGUAAACUGCUUUUGUACGGAGCGAAAAGGCUCUCUCUAAUACAGGGGGCUCAUGACGGUACCGUAAGAAUAAGCACCGGCUAACUACGUGCCAGCCGCCGCGGUAA
rnacentral:rRNA from 1 species